rnacentral:rRNA from 1 species
AUUGAACGCUGGCGGCAGGCCUAACACAUGCAAGUCGAGCGGAGUGGCGGACGGGUGAGUAAUGCCUAGGAAUCUGCCUGGUAGUGGGGGAUAACGUCCGGAAACGGGCGCUAAUACCGCAUACUAUCAGAUGAGCCUAGGUCGGAUUAGCUAGUUUGUGGGGUAAAGGCCUACCAAGGCGACGAUCCGUAACUGGUCUGAGAGGAUGACCAGCCCAACUGGUACUGAUACACGGUCCAGACUCCUCCGGGAGGCAGCAGUGGGGAAUAUUGCACAGUGGGCGCAAGCCUGAUGCAGCCAUGCCGCGUGUAUUAAGAAGGCCUUCGGGUUGUAAAGUACUUUCAGCUGGGAGGCGGUACCCGCAGAAGAAGCACCGGCUAACUCCGUGCCAGCCGCCGCGGUAAUUC